rnacentral:lncRNA from 1 species
AAACGCCUAUCUAAGGAAACUUAGAUACUCAUAAUGUAAAAAGUCAUAGCCAAAAUGUUUGAUAAGGAAUACAUGAUUUACAAGGAAACAAUUGCAUUAUGGAACUCUACAUGUGUCUCUUAGUGAUCAAAAUUCAGAAUCAUUGUCAAUUGCAUCAGAUUUCACUUAAAUAGGGACUUGGAUAAUAGAAAUCGCAUCAUGAUUUCUCAAUAAUUUGAUUUUUCGUAUUGAUUUUCUAGAAAAAUGUGACACGAUUCCAUCCCAUUAUGGCAUAAUUUCCUCAAAUCACUUCUUCAGUGUUUUCAUCACAUGAUUGUGCCAUAAUGAUAUCCCUUCAUACCACGAUUUAAACAUACCAAACUUCUUUGUUUUAUUCUCAGGAUCGCGCCACAACUCCCUUUAAUCGUGGCACCAUUUUUGUUGGGAACUUAUUCCUUUUUUCUUACUUUCUUCAUGUCUUGGUGUGUUGUCUUUGCUUCUCUUCACGUCACUCUAACCUCCACCAUGUGUAAACAUUGAAGAGUUGUCUAAUUAACAUGAUUUGAUGUAAGUUGAGACUUUCAAUAAUGGUCUCGAUUCUUGUAUAAUUUUCUAAAGUUCA